AUUUUUAAUAAAGGUCCUGCUAAUGAGCAGACGGUGAAUCAGGAUGAACAUCAGCAGCAAGUGUACUCCUCUCUUCUUCAUGGUGAUCGUUGUGUCUAUGAGACAAUCAGAGGCUCUGAAAACACUGAAAAUGGUCCACCUGAAGGUGAUUACACCAAUGUCACAUCUGUGAUUCAGCUCAAAGUCAUUAACAAGACGAGACAACGUGGUGACCCAGAGGAGAGCUCUGACUACUAUAAUGUGAAUCCAAAUUCAGCCACAGCUCUAAAAUCUUAACAGCAGCUCUUUAGCUGUUUUUAUCUUUUUCUCUUUAAAGGAACUUAAAAACUUGACGUCACUUUGAGUGAAAAGGAGCAGAUUUUUCAUUCAAAGCAAUGAUCCUGAUAGCCUGAGUUUAUAUUUCCUUCAGAAAGAAUCCCUCAGUGUGUUUCAGUCGUUUAUCUUCCUUUAAAUCAGAGGAGUCCAAACUAUGGCUCACGGGCCAAACAUGGCCCAUGCUCAGAUUUUUUUAUGGCCCAUGCAUCUUGUCCAUACAUGUUAUUUUUGGCCCACCGGCCCAAGCAAUGAAUUCAACUCAGCAUGUAAUUCCAAAAAGUGAUUUUUGGAAAGUGCCAAUAAAAAACAAAAAACGAUGUAUUUAAACUGGUGUAAAUGACUUUUUGGCUCCAAUCGGUCAAACAUAUCUGUCAUUCUGUAAUUUCCCUAUUGUGGGAUCAAUAAAGUAUCAUCAUCGUCAUCAUGAAUGAUAUCAAUUCAUUCUGAGUGAGAACAAAUCCUGUCACAGGUAGAAGCUGCAAUUACAUUUUGGCAAAGCAGCUUUUAUGUAUUUUUUAUUUAUCAGGAAAAAUUUCAUUUUUUUCAUAGAGAUCUGGUCA